rnacentral:rRNA from 1 species
AUUGAACGCUAGCGGGAUGCCUUACACAUGCAAGUCGAACGAGACGCGGACGGGUGAGCUAUAUAUCGGACCGUGCGUAGUAGCCGGCGUCAGCUACCCGAAAGUAUUGCUAAUACCGCACUCUAGUGGAUCGGUCGAUUUCGGAUUAGCUAGUUGGUGGGGCAAAGGCACACCAAGGCAACGAUCCGUAGCUGGUUUGAGAGGACGACCAGCCACACUGGGACUGAGACACGGCCCAGACUCCUACGGGAGGCAGCAGUGGGGAAUUUUGGACAAUGGGGGAAACCCUGAUCCAGCCAUCCCGCGUGUGUGAGAAGGCCUUCGGAUUGUAAAGUACUUUUGGCAGAGAAGCGGUAUCUACAGAAUAAGCACCGGCUAACUACGUGCCAGCAGCCGCGGUAAUUC